AUAUUGGGACAUAUAAAAAAAGACAACUCUGUUGCGCAGAGUAGCUGUUGACAUUAUAGUUGCGCAGGCACUUUGUUGACUCGGGCCAAUCACACAUCCUCGUGGUGGUGACUUUGCAUGCGGAUGUCAUCCAUAUCAACUUUCGAUGCCAGUUUCUGCGCCUACCAUGGUGACCACGGGUAACGGGGAAUCAGGGUUCCAUUCCAUACAGGGACCCUGAGAAACGGCUACCACAUGCAAGGAACGCAACAGGCAUGCAAAUGACCCACUCCCGACACGGGAAGGUAGU